UACGUAGGGUGCAAGCGUUAAUCGGAAUUACUGGGCGUAAAGCGUGCGCAGGCGGCUUUGCAAGACAGAUGUGAAAUCCCCGGGCUCAACCUGGGAACUGCAUUUGAUACUGGAUAGCUAGAGUUCGGCAGAGGGAAGUGGAAUUUCUGGUGUAGCGGUGAAAUGCGUAGAUAUCAGAAGGAACAUCAGUGGCGAAAGCGACUUCCUGGACCAGAACUGACGAUCAGGCACGAAAGCGUGGGGAGCAAACAGG
rnacentral:rRNA from 1 species